AUAUAUUAUAUAAAAUAAUCUUAUCUGGUAAAGCGAAUGAUUAGAGGCAUUAGGGUCGAAACGAUCUUAACCUAUUCUCAAACUUUAAAUGGGUAAGAACCUUAUCUUUCUUGAUAUGAAGAUAUAGGUUAUGAUAUAUUGUGCCCAGUGGGCCACUUUUGGUAAGCAGAACUGGCGCUGUGGGAUGAACCAAACGUAAUGUUAAGGCGCCUAAAUUAACAACUCAUACUGAUACCAUGAAAGGCGUUGCUUGCUUAAAACAGUAGGGCGGUGGACAUGGAAGUCGUAAUCCGCUAAGGAGUGUGUAACAACUCACCUGCCGAAGCAACUAGCCCUUAAAAUGGAUGGCGCUCAAGUUGUAUGCCUAUACAUUACCGCUAAAAUAUAUGAUUUAUAAUUUUUAUAAUUAUAAAUUUUGAAAUUUUAGUGAGUAGGAGGGUACAAUGGUGUGCGUAGAAGUGUUUGGCGUAAGCCUGCAUGGAGCCGCCAUUGGCACAGAUCUUGGUGGUAGUAGCAAAUAAUCGAAUGAGACCUUGGAGGACUGAAGUGGAGAAGGGUUUCGUGUGAACAGUGGUUGAUCACGAGUUAGUCGGUCCUAAGUUCAAGGCGAAAGCCGAAAAAUGUUAAAGUAUAUUAUAGAAAUAUAAUACUUUAUAUUUUUAAUGAACGAAAGGGAAUACGGUUCCAAUUCCGUAACCUGUUGAGUAUACGUUUGUAAUUAAAACUGGGCUUUAAUGCUCAUCCUGGUAACAGUAACAACCAUAAAGAAGCCGUCGAGAGAUAUCGAAAGAGUUUUCUUUUCUGUUUUAUAGUCGUAUUACCAUGGAAAUCUUUCGAAGAGAGAUAUGGUAAAUGGACUAGAAGAGCAUGGCAUUUACUGCUGUGUCGAUAUUUUCUCCUCGGACCUUGAAAAUUUAUGGUAGGGUCACGCAAAUUUCUUAACAGGCCGUACCGAUAUCCGCAGCUGGUCUCCAAGGUGAAGAGUCUC
rnacentral:rRNA from 1 species